rnacentral:rRNA from 1 species
AACGUAGGAGGCAAGCGUUAUCCGGAGUUACUGGGCGUAAAGCGUAUGUAGGCGGUUGGGCAAGUGGCGUGUGAAAGCUCCCGGCUAAACUGGGAGACGACAGGUCAGACUGCCGAACUCGAGUCCGAUAGAGGGGCGUAGAAUUCCGGGUGUAGCGGUGAAAUGUGUAGAGAUCCGGAGGAAUACCAGUGGCGCAAGCGGCGCCCUGGGUCGGUACUGACGCUGAGAUACGAAAGCGUGGGGAGCGAACAGG